AUGCACGCUGGCGGCGUGCCUAAUACAUGCCAGUCGAGCGAACAGACGAGGAGCUUGCUCCUCUGACGUUAGCGGCGGACGGGUGAGUAACACGUGGAUAACCUACCUAUAAGACUGGGAUAACUUCGGGAAACCGGAGCUAAUACCGGAUAAUAUAUUGAACCGCAUGGUUCAAUAGUGAAAGACGGUUUUGCUGUCACUUAUAGAUGGAUCCGCGCCGUAUUAGCUAGUUGGUAAGGUAACGGCUUACCAAGGCGACGAUGCGUAGCCGACCUGAGAGGGUGAUCGGCCACACUGGAACUGAGACACGGUCCAGACUCCUACGGGAGGCAGCAGUAGGGAAUCUUCCGCAAUGGGCGAAAGCCUGACGGAGCAACGCCGCGUGAGUGAUGAAGGUCUUCGGAUCGUAAAACUCUGUUAUUAGGGAAGAACAAAUGUGUAAGUAACUAUGCACGUCUUGACGGUACCUAAUCAGAAAGCCACGGCUAACUACGUG
rnacentral:rRNA from 1 species